UACGGAAGGCAGCAGUGGGGAAUAUUGCACAAUGGGCGCAAGCCUGAUGCAGCCAUGCCGCGUGUAUGAAGAAAGGGCCUUCGGGUUGUAAAGUACUUUUCAGCGGGGAGGAAGGCGGUGAAGUUAAUAGCUUCACCGAUUGACGUUACCCGCAGAAGAAGCACCGGCUAACUCCGUGCCAGCAGCCGCGGUAAUACGGAGGGUGCAAGCGUUAAUCGGAAUUACUGGGCGUAAAGCGCACGCAGGCGGUCUGUCAAGUCGGAUGUGAAAUCCCCGGGCUUAACCUGGGAACUGCAUUCGAAACUGGCAGGCUAGAGUCUUGUAGAGGGGGUAGAAUUCCAGGUGUAGCGGUGAAAUGCGUAGAGAUCUGGAGGAAUACCGGUGGCGAAGGCGGCCCCUGGGACAAGACUGACGCUCAGGUGCGAAAGCGUGGGGAGCAAACGAGAUUAGAUACC
rnacentral:rRNA from 1 species